rnacentral:tRNA from 1 species
GCGGGCAUGGUGUAGCGGUAACACUACAGCCUUCCAAGCUGUCAUCACGGGUUCGAGUCCCGUUGCCCGCU